AGUGAACACUGGCGGCAGGCCUAACACAUGCAAGUCGAACGGCAGCACAAGAGAGCUUGCUCUCUGGGUGGCGAGUGGCGGACGGGUGAGGAAUGCAUCGGAAUCUGCCCAUUUGUGGGGGAUAACCUCGGGAAACCGGGACUAAUACCGCAUACGGCCUACGGGUGAAAGCAGGGGAUCUUCGGACCUUGCGCAGAUGGAUGAGCCGAUGCCGGAUUAGCUAGUUGGAGGGGUAAAGGCCCACCAAGGCGACGAUCCGUAGCUGGUCUGAGAGGAUGAUCAGCCACACUGGGACUGAGACACGGCCCAGACUCCUACGGGAGGCAGCAGUGGGGAAUAUUGGACAAUGGGCGCAAGCCUGAUCCAGCCAUGCCGCGUGUGUGAAGAAGGCCUUCGGGUUGUAAAGCACUUUUGUUGGGAAAGAAAAGCAGCCGGUUAAUACCCGGUUGUCAUGACGGUACCCAAAGAAUAAGCACCGGCUAACUUCGUG
rnacentral:rRNA from 1 species